UAUCUAUCCUUGGGUGGGGGAUAACCGUGGGAAACUACGGCUAAUACCGCAUGAUGACUGAGGUCCAAAGGUGUCUUUUCGCGAGAGGAGAUUUUGCCUGGGGAGGAGCCUGCGUACGAUUAGCUUGUUGGUGGGGUAAAGGCCUACCAAGGCGACGAUCGUUAGCUGGUCUGAGAGGAUGAUCAGCCACACUGGAACUGAGACACGGUCCAGACUCCUACGGGAGGCAGCAGUGGGGAAUAUUGGACAAUGGGCGAAAGCCUGAUCCAGCAAUGCCGCGUGGGU
rnacentral:rRNA from 1 species